rnacentral:rRNA from 1 species
CCUACGGGAGGCAGCAGUGAGGAAUAUUGCACAAUGGGCGCGAGCCUGAACCAGCCAAGCAGCGUGAAGGAUGAAGGCCCUAUGGGUUGUAAGCUUCAUUUAUAAAGGAAAAAAGUGAGGCAAGUGUGCCUUUUUGUAUGGACUAAAUGAAUAAGGAUAGGCUAACUCCGUGCCAGGAGCCGCGGUAGUACGGCGGGUCCGAGCGUUAUCCGGAUGUAUUGGGGUUAACGGGAGCGUAGAGGGGUGUUUAAGGCUGUUGUGAACGUUUGCGGCUCAACCGUAAAAUUGCCAUUGAGACUGGCUGCCUUGAGUACAGUUGAGGUCGGCGGAAUUCGUGUUGUAGCGG